rnacentral:rRNA from 1 species
UACGUAGGGGGCUAGCGUUGUCCGGAUUUAUUGGGCGUAAAGAGCGUGUAGGCGGCCAGGUAGGUCUGCUGUGAAAGUCGGGGGCUCAACCCUCGGAUGCCGGUGGAUACUGUCGGGCUUGAGUACGGAAGAGGCGAGUGGAAUUCCUGGUGUAGCGGUGAAAUGCGCAGAUAUCAGGAGGAACACCAAUUGCGAAGGCAGCUCGCUGGGACGUUACUGACGCUGAGGAACGAAAGCGUGGGGAGCGAACAGG